AUUUGUUGCAUUUAUUCAUGUUCCCCGAGACCCUAAACUCGCAUAAUGAAACAUUUGUGAUUGAGCAUGUUUAAAGUAUGUCAUCAAGUUGAAAUUUGAUUUCAGUUCUCACAAGACUAGAAAAAAAACAUGAACUUUAAACAUAAUAUUUCAACAAGGGCCUUGGUGUCUCUGAGACCUCAAACAGAAGAUUAGUUGUGAAUUCAGAUGAGUGCAGAACAGUGCUGGUUGAGAGGGCAUUUGAAUAUCUAUGAGUGUGUGUAAGGAAUGAACGCCUCUUUAUCUGUAUAAGUGUAGUAUCACUGUAAACCGUAAAAGACUGUGUUGAUUGCUGUCACUUCUUAAGUAGCUGUUUCUUCUGACAGCGAGGCUCAUCCCGAACUCUUUUCUCUGCUGGAUAAAGGAGGACAAGCAUUUGGGUUUUGCUUAAACUAAACUUCAGUGAUGUUUCUGAUUUAAGCUGGGAUCUUUUUGUACAGUUGCUGUGGCAGUGUUCCUCGGGGCUCUGUGUGCUGUUUACUACUCUACAGAGCAUGUCCUCGCAACUCAGGAUGACAUCGGUAGGGGACACAGACAUACUGAUUAUUCAUCCCUUUGUACAUCAACACUCCUUCGUCAUUUUUCCUAUCCAUCAAGCGCGAGGGGAAGAAACAGAGAUGUUGCGCAGUAGACUGAAACAGAACGCUCUUUUAGAUGAAGCUGGAGGGGCCAGGCCUUCCUACCAGAUCGUUUGCUGCUCACCAAGAUGGCUCACUGCAGCAGUGGAUGAGGAUGGUCUGUCUGGAUGUGUCGGUGUGUGUGUUUGUCCAACCGAUGUCACAUUAUUCCUGAUGGAUUUUGUUCCUGUUAGGUGACAUGGAGCCAUCUGGGGAUCCUGCAGUGAGUGUGUGUAUAUCUGAAAGGUGAAACUGAGAAAAGGAGGAAACGAAAGAGAAACGAAUAGCUAUAUCAAUGCUGAGGUAAAAAAAAGUCACAAAUUAAAUGUCACAAUUAAAAAUCCAUAUGCAUUAUAUAACAAAAUAACAAACCAAGUGACAAUAAAAGCAUAAUAAAAGAAAUUAAGAAAAAUAAAUACCCUUUAGCAUACUUUUCAAAAGAGUAUUUAUUAUGAAAAUAAUAUAC
rnacentral:lncRNA from 1 species